rnacentral:rRNA from 1 species
AUUGAACGCUGGCGGCAGGCUUAACACAUGCAAGUCGAGCGAGCGGCGGACGGGUGAGUAAUGUCUGGGAAACUGCCUGAUGGAGGGGGAUAACUACUGGAAACGGUAGCUAAGACCGCAUACCAUCAGAUGUGCCCAGAUGGGAUUGGGUAGUAGGUGGGGUAAUGGCUCACCUAGUCGACGAUCCCUAGCUGGUCUGAGCGGAUGACCAGCCACACGGGAGCUGAGGCACGGUCCAGACUCCUACGAGAGGCAGCAGUGGGGAAUAUUGCACAAUGGGCGCAAGCCGGAUGCAGCCAUGCCGCGUGUGUGAAGAAGGCCAUCGGGUUGUAAAGCACUUUCAGCGAGGAGGCGUUACUCGCAGAAGAAGCACCGGCUAACUCCGUGCCAGCAGCCGCGGUAAUAC